rnacentral:lncRNA from 1 species
AUUUGUCUUGUUGAAGUGUGUGCUGGAGUUGGGCGGGUCUGCAGGCCCUGACGAGUUCCCCUUGUCUCCUUCUCUUUCAUUAAAGAAAGUUUAUAGCCUGCAGACAUGCUGAGAGAGUACCAGACGCCCACAAACCUCCUGUCCUGCAUGAAUAACACAUCUCAGGCGAACACACCUGAAGUCUGCGAUGGAGCCUGUUCAGAACCAGGAGCCGGAGGACAACUCGUACCUGUGUUUCCAGAGGACGUCGUCUCUCAGACGCAAGUGGAGGAAACGUUACGGAGGUCUGGAUGGCAACAAACUGCUGGAGCCCAAUAAAGAUCCAGACGUAAAAGAUUAUCUCGGGAUCACAGAUGAUAAUCCGCAGCAGAGAUUUGAGGAAACAGCCUCUUGCUCAUUUCCUGGCACCCUAACCCAGAACCAGGUCCAGACUGUAGGUCAAGGUCUGGUCCAGAAACCCAUCAGCCUUGUCAGUCCUGGAUCUGCAGCCAAUAAUGGCUGCCUGAAGCCGCCUCUUCCUCAGGCAGUGGUCCAGCCAGAGGACAGAGGAGUUCCUUUGACCCAACCCUGGAGCCCUCCCCAGCAGACUCCAUCCAGACGCAGAGCGGCGGCUGAUGUGCUGUUUGACAGCUUCGCCUCUGAGGGGCGGCUUCACGUCAACCAGUUCUUUGAGGCCAUCUGGAACUCUGGUCUGCACAAGUCUGACCCUCGUCUCAGAGAGUGUUUCUUCCACCUGCGGAAACUGCAAGAUGCCGAUGGUUCCAUGGACAGAAACACCUUCCACAGGUGCAUCACAGGCUUUGUCUCCCUCAUCUUGAAGGCCCUACAGGGUCGAUUUGUCAUCCCUGAUUUCUCUACUUUCACUGAGGAGACUCAGAAGUUGUUUUCAAGGUGUCGUCAGCUGUUGUCUGUCCAGGUGAGUGUUUAUUUGCUACCAAGCAUUUUCUGCUGUUUCGUAUCCAGAAGGCAAAUGAUCUCCUGCAACAGUCUGUUAGAACUUUCUCUGUCUCUUUUAGAGAACUAAGAUUUAACAUAAAUACAUUCUUUUUAAAAUCUGGACUU